GUAGAUGUGUUGGAACAAAAAGAGAUGUUGCCUUUGCGUUAGGGUAGAUGUGUUGGAACAAAAAGAGAUGUUGUCUUUGCGUUAGGGUAGAUGUGUUGGAACAAAAGAGAUGUUGCCUUUGCGUUAGGGUAGAUGUGUUGGGACAAAAAGAGAUGUUGCCUUGCGUUAGGGUAGAUGUGUUGGGACAAAAAGAGAUGUUGCCUUUGCGUUAGGGUAGAUGUGUUGGGACAAA